UCGUAGGGAGUUUCAGCUGAAGCAAUUAGAAAGUUAUCUUGGUUCUCUUGAACAAUUUUCAACCCCAAAGAUUGAACUAGAACAAUAUCCUACUGGAGCCCACAUUGCUUCUCGUAUGCUUUACACUGCUGAGAAUUCAUUUGAGGAUGUGAACAGUAAGGUGGUUGCAGAUUUUGGAUGUGGUUGUGGUACAUUAGGCCUUGCUGCUGGCCUUUUGGGAGCCGAAAGUGUUAUUGGGCUUGAUAUUGAUGCUGAGUCUCUUGAGAUUGCGUAUGCAAAUGCCGAUGAGCUUGAGCUAGACAUGGAUUUUAUUCAAUGCGACAUCAGCAACUUAAAAUGGAGAGGUCAGAUUGUUGAAACUGUGGUUAUGAAUCCACCUUUUGGAACACGGAGGAAAGGUGCUGACAUGGACUUCCUCUCUUCGGCGAUGAAGGUUGCUUCUCAAGCAGUUUAUUCCUUACAUAAGACCACAACUAGAGAACAUGUGAAAAGAGCAGCCUUGCGAGAUUACAAUGCAAUAAGUGCUGAAGUUAUAUGUGAGCUUCGGUAUGAUGUGCCACAACUGUACAAAUUUCACAAGAAAAAGGAGGUUGACAUUGCUGUGGA
rnacentral:misc_RNA from 1 species